UAAGAAAAAGAAAAAGAAAAAAAAAAGACUUGGAGGUUUAACCAGCUGAGCACUCAAGUGCCCUGAGCAUGAGACUCCUAAUCUCAAGGUUGUGAGUUCAAGCUCCACUUUGGACAUGGAGCCUACUUAAUUAAAAAAAAAAAAAAAAGAAGAAGAAAAGAAAGAAAGCAAGAAAGAAAAGAAAGAAACGUAAUUGCCCAAGUUGAGAAGAGAAUAUUCUUCUUUAUCAAAGAUGACUGGCUAAUAAAGGAAAUAGAAGAACAAAUUUAAUACAGCUCAUGAAAGCAAUCAGAAAAAUCCAAUAAAUGGGACAAUAUACAGGUAAA